GACGAACGCUGGCGGCAUGCCUAACACAUGCAAGUCGAGCGAGCUGAUUUCUUCGGAAUGAAGCUAGCGGCGGACGGGUGAGUAACACGUGGGCAACCUGCCUCAUAGAGGGGAAUAACCUUCCGAAAGGAAGAUUAAUACCGCAUAAGAUUGUAGUACCGCAUGGUAUAGCAAUUAAAGGAGUAAUCCGCUAUGAGAUGGGCCCGCGGCGCAUUAGCUAGUUGGUGAGGUAACGGCUCACCAAGGCGACGAUGCGUAGCCGACCUGAGAGGGUGAUCGGCCACAUUGGGACUGAGACACGGCCCAGACUCCUACGGGAGGCAGCAGUGGGGAAAAUUGCACAAUGGGGGAACCCUGAUGCAGCAAUGCCGCGUGAGUGAUGACGGCCUUCGGGUUGUAAAGCUCUGUCUACGGGGACGAUAACGACGGUACCCGAGGAGGAAGCCACGGCUAACUACGUGCCAGCAGCCGCGGUAA
rnacentral:rRNA from 1 species